rnacentral:rRNA from 1 species
UUUGCACAAAGGCGGGGAGCAUGUGGUUUAAUUCGACGCUACGCGAAGAACCUUACCUGGGUUUGACAUGGACUGGAAUGUACUGGAGACAGUGCAGCCUUCGGGCCGGUUCACAGGUGCUGCAUGGCUGUCGUCAGCUCGUGCCGUGAGGUGUUGGGUUAAGUCCCGCAACGAGCGCAACCCUUACUUUUAGUUGCCAUCGGGUAAUGCCGGGCACUCUAGAGGGACUGCCAGCACAAGCUGGAGGAAGGUGGGGAUGACGUCAAGUCAGCAUGGCCCUUACAUCCAGGGCUACACACGUGCUACAAUGGCCGGUACAGAGGGCAGCCAACCCGCGAGGGGGAGCGAAUCUCAGAAAGCCGGUCUCAGUUCGGAUUGCAGGCUGCAACUCGCCUGCAUGAAGCCGGAAUCACUAGAUCCGCAGUACGUCAC